CACGUAGUUAGCCGGGGCUUCUUAGUCAGAUACCGUCAUUUUCUUUCCUGCUGAUAGAGCUUUACAUACCGAAAUACUUCUUCACUCACGCGGCGUCGCUGCAUCAGGGUUUCCCCCAUUGUGCAAUAUUCCCCACUGCUGCCUCCCGUAGGAGUUUGGGCCGUGUCUCAGUCCCAAUGUGGCCGUUCACCCUCUCAGGCCGGCUACUGAUCGUCGCCUUGGUGGGCCUCUACCCCGCCAACAAGCUAAUCAGACGCGGGUCCAUCGUAUACCACCGGAGUUUUUCACACCGGACCAUGCGAUCCUGUGCGCUUAUGCGGUUUUAGCACCUAUUUCUAAGUGUUAUCCCCCUGUAUACGGCAGGUUACCCACGCGUUACUCACCCGUCCGCCACUAACAGAUAAAUCACUAGGUUUCAUUACCUGUCCGUUCGACUUGCAUGUGUUAAGCACGCCGCCAGCGUUCAUCCUGAGCCAGGAUCAAACUCU
rnacentral:rRNA from 1 species